AAGCUAUCUUCGGAUAGUGGAGACCGGCAGACGGGUGAGUAACACGUGGGAACAUACCGAGUAGUGGGGGAUAACAGUUGGAAACGACUGCUAAUACCGCAUACGCCCUUCGGGGGAAAGAUUUAUCGCUAUUCGAUUGGCCCGCGUUAGAUUAGCUAGUUGGUAAGGUAACGGCUUACCAAGGCGACGAUCUAUAGCUGGUUUGAGAGGAUGAUCAGCCACACUGGGACUGAGACACGGCCCAGACUCCUACGGGAGGCAGCAGUGGGGAAUAUUGCGCAAUGGAGGAAACUCUGACGCAGCCAUGCCGCGUGAGUGAAGAAGGCCUUAGGGUUGUAAAGCUCUUUCAGACGUGAUGAUGAUGACAGUAGCGUCAAAAGAAGUUCCGGCUAACUUCGUGCCAGCAGCCGCGGUAAUACGAAGGGAACUAGCGUUGUUCGGAUUUACUGGGCGUAAAGAGCAUGUAGGCGGAUUGGACAGUUGAGGGUGAAAUCCCAGAGCUCAACUCUGGAACGGCCUUCAAUACUUCCAGUCUAGAGUCCGUAAGGGGGUGGUGGAAUUCCGAGUGUAGAGGUGAAAUUCGUAGAUAUUCGGAGGAACACCAGUGG
rnacentral:rRNA from 1 species